GGUCAAUAACCUAAUCGCCUGGCCCAUAGAAAGAUAAUGGGCCGAGAUGGGCUUCGUGAUCCGAUGGAGGUCCAGGCCGCUUCCAAACACUUUGUCUUCUCCUCUUCUCUUCCUUGUGCUCAGCUUGUCUGGUUGUGUGCGGAUUUGAGUAGAUUGUGAAGACGUGAUCGAGUGUCCGGUCGAGUGAUGGUGAUGGUGGUAAGUGAUGAUACUCGACCAGGGGGUCGAGUAUCUUGGUAGAGUGAAUGGUCGAGUGUGGUCAGGUGGUGUGGCGAAGUGAUACUCGACCAGGGGGUCGAGUAAUGUGGUAGAGUGAACGGUCGAGUAUUGUCAGGUGGUGUGGCGAAGUGAUACUCGACCAGGGGGUCGAGUGGUGUCAUCGAGUGGCCUGAGCUGAGGUUACUCGACCUGGUGGUCGAGUAGAUGGGAAGAAUGGCUCCAAAGUCACUCGACCAGAGGGUCGAGUAUGGUGCUGGAUGCACACGACCUGGUGGUCGAGUAUGUCUUCUGGUUCUGGCUCGUUUCUUCCAAUUUGUUCGCAAACAGCUCCAAAUCACCUGAAAACAACUCAGAAAUGCAAUAUGUAUGCAAAGCUAUCCUAAUCAUGCAAAGUAUGUAAGAAUGAUGAGAAAUGAUAUAAAACAGUGAUGAAUGAUACGAAACUGGACUCAAAACUAUGAUGAAUGGACACUGAAAACAUGCAAAUUAUAGACAUAUCACGGACUUCGGCGACACCAUCAAAGCUUUGAGAAGCCAGAAGAAAUUUGAUUAGUGUUU
rnacentral:sRNA from 1 species